UCUGUGGCUGGCUCUGUUUUCAGAUGACUUCCAGAGUGUGUUCAGGCUCAGGCCUUUUUUGUGCUCUCUGCUCUCUCUGUGUUCGCUCUUUCUCUUUUCAGUCUCUGUUUAUCAGGGACUGUUUUGGUAGGAGCUGGUUGAAGAGUAGACCUGGCAGGAGAACGGCAGAACUGGAUUUGAACUAAAGAAUAAGAAAGGAGGGGAAGAAGAGAAGAGAAAAAACAUCGAAAAGAGAAGUGCAGAGAGAAGAGAGGAGUUUGGAACACGUAGGUCUUCCAUCUUAAGAGGAGAGAAAUCUGAGGAACCAACGUCGUUGGAAAGACAGAGAGCGACUGAAAGCAACAAGGUGGCUGAGUCACCGUUUGUCUUAUUAAUGAGGACACGGAGAUGGUCUAUGUUCAGUGGUCUUUAUGUGGCCCAGCCAGAUUGCGGACUUGAACCUGAUCAAACAUCUAUGGAGAG